rnacentral:rRNA from 1 species
GAUGUACGCUGGCGGCGUGCCUAAUACAUGCAAGUCGAGCGAACGGACGAGAAGCUUGCUUCUCUGAUGUUAGCGGCGGACGGGUGAGUAACACGUGGAUAACCUACCUAUAAGACUGGGAUAACUUCGGGAAACCGUAGCUAAUACCGGAUAAUAUUUUGAACCGCAUGGUUCAAAAGUGAAAGACGGUCUUGCUGUCACUUAUAGAUGGAUCCGCGCUGCAUUAGCUAGUUGGUAAGGUAACGGCCUACCAAGGCAACGAUGCAUAGCCGACCUGAGAGGGUGAUCGGCCACACUGGAACUGAGACACGGUCCAGACUCCUACGGGAGGCAGCAGUAGGGAAUCUUCCGCAAUGGGCGAAAGCCUGACGGAGCAACGCCGCGUGAGUGAUGAAGGUCUUCGGAUCGUAAACCUCUGUUAUUAGGGAAGAACAUAUGUGUAAGUAACUGUGCACAUCUUGACGGUACCUAAUCAGAAAGCCACGGCUAACUACGUG